rnacentral:rRNA from 1 species
GGAUGAAUAUUGGGCAAUGCCCGGAAGGGUGACCCAGCAACGCCGCGUGGAGGAUGAAUGCCGUAAGGUUGUAAACUCCUGUUAGAGGGGAAGAACAAUUUCGAUCGAAUCGGAACUUGACUGUACCCUCAGAGAAAGCCCCGGCUAACUACGUGCCAGCAGCCGCGGUAAUACGUAGGGGCGUAGCGUUGUCCGGAUUUACUGGGUGUAAAGGGCGCGUAGGUGGGUUUGCAAGUCAGAGGUGAAAUCU